GUAACCGUUCGGUUCCAAUAUUAACUUGUUGGCUCCACCAUCAAUCCUUUUGCCCCAUUCUCCCCUACAGAAACGUACACACUGGGAGAGACACACUCACGGGUUGACAACACCAGCGGCAAGUGAGUGAGCGUCCCCCUUUCUCGAGAUUUACCAAGCUAUGACAAAUCGAUUGAUUCGAGCAGUUUGAACAUGGAAAAACAUAAUAGCUCACAGGCCUAAUGGUUUAGUGUCCAAUCCACAGAUGGCGAUACAACGUAAAGGGUGAACAAACAUGGCCCUUAACAUUAAAUUUAUGUUUAAUAGAUGUUAUAAAAGCGGCAAUGAUCGACAAAAGAACUCUCUUUGUGACUUUGAUCCUCGAACGGAAUCGUAGUGCGCGCGGUUAUUCUAAUUAGUCGAGGUUAGAAAAGAAAACCUCUUUUGUGGUGUAAUAGUUUUAUAUUUUUUUGUGUUGUAUCUUUGUUUAGGGUCGAGUACAAAGGAUUUACAAAACCAGUAUUUGUACAACAAAAUGUGUUAGUAAAAUUAGUGAAUGUUUAGUUAAAAACUAUGUUAGUAUGGUUAGUGUGUUAAUGUGUUAAUCGGUAAAAAUCGUUUCCUAAAAACCUAAUUUGAAUUAAAAUUGUAGCUAAAAGUAUGUAAUUCCACGAGCAAAAAUACCAACGAAGACAAACAUAUUAAAAAGAUAAGAAAAAGGUCCAUGCAAAGGGCCUUUUUCUUUUGUGCCUUUUUUCUAAAACAGCCAGUUCUCUACCACGGCGGAGAAGUUCACGGGAGAACCCGCACUAAGUUGUGAAGAGGCUGUGGAAAUGAAGUGAACGUUGUGCCCAUUGUAGAUGUUCGGCAGGCUUUCCAGAAACCGCCAUUGUGUCAACCCCGAGUAUAUGCCCGUCAUCGGUAGUGCACUCGACCGCCAUCUUCCAAAAGUCCAUCGGGAAGAUAUCUGCCAAACACGCCGUAACAACUCUCGCCCAAAGUCUGGCAACCCGUCCGCACACCUGGACGAGCAGCCACCAGUGAUGACGCUGGUCUUCGACCGGCUACCCCAAGCUACCUCAUCAACCAGGAUCCGGAUCCACGUCGAGUAUCCAAAGAGCAUGCAAGUAUAGACCCCUUUUGACGUCACCAAUAAAUGAUUGUAAAUUGUAAUUAGCUUCCGUGGUAGCUUAUUAGUAGAAAGUGCAACCCUAAAUGUGAAAUUCUUACACCACUUUGCCCCGUUUUACCGAGUUCAUAACGGAACUUCCAAACCUCGCCGUUCGGGGAUUCCAGUUCUCAUUCCAUUUACAGACGUUGCCCAGUUAUGUUUGUCCGUCCUUGAUUGUUUAACCGUUUGUGGAAAGGAGAUUCGUAAAUUAUCCUGUCCUGCUUGAUUCUCUCAUUUGUGGCCAGUGUACAGUGGGAAAGGAAUGUGUUAAACGACCCUGUAGAACCCUAUCCCAUGAGCUUCCGAGUUACAAUUU